rnacentral:rRNA from 1 species
AACGAACGCUGGCGGCAUGCCUAACACAUGCAAGUCGAACGAGACCUUCGGGACUAGUGGCGCACGGGUGCGUAACGCGUGGGAACCUGCCCUUAGGUUCGGAAUAACUCCCCGAAAGGGGUGCUAACACCGGAUAAUGUCUUCGGACCAAAGAUUUAUCGCCUUUGGAUGGGCCCGCGUUGCAUUAGCUAGUUGGUAGGGUAAAAGCCUACCAAGGCGACGAUCCAUAGCUGGUCUGAGAGGAUGGUCAGCCACACUGGGACUGGGACACGGCCCAGACUCCUACGGGAGGCAGCAGUGGGGAAUAUUGGACAAUGGGCGGAAGCCUGAUCCAGCAAUGCCGCGUGAGUGAUGAAGGCCUUAAAGUUGUAAAGCUCUUUUACCCGGGAUGAUAAUGACAGUACCGAGAGAAUAAGCUCCGGCUAACUCCGUG